GACGAACGCUGGCGGCGUGCUUAACACAUGCAAGUCGAGCGGUAAGGCCCUUUCGGGGGUACGACGAGCGGCGAACGGGUGAGUAACACGUGGGUGACCUGCCCUCAGCUCUGGGAUAAGCCUGGGAAACCGGGUACUAAUACCGGAUAUGACUCCAUGACGCAUGUUGUGGGGUGGAAAGCCUUGUGCGGCUGAGGAUGGGCCCGCGGCCUAUCAGCUUGUUGGUGGGGUGGAUGGCCUACCAAGGCGACGACGGGUAGCCGGCCUGAGAGGGCGACCGGCCACACUGGGACUGAGACACGGCCCAGACUCCUACGGGAGGCAGCAGUGGGGAAUCUUGCGCAAUGGGCGAAAGCCUGACGCAGCGACGCCGCGUGAGGGAUGACGGCCUGUGU
rnacentral:rRNA from 1 species